GGGGUCUGUAGCUCAGUCGGUUAGAGCACCGUCUUGAUAAGGCGGGGUCGUUGGUUCGAAUCCACCAGACCCACC
rnacentral:tRNA from 1 species